AGCUCAGAACUGGACACAAUGCUCCAAGUGAGGCCUCACCAGGGCAGAGUAGAGGGGAAUGAUCACCUCCAUUUAAUGCACCCCAAAAUACCAUUGGCCUUCUUGGCCACCAGGGCACACUGCUGGCUCAUGACCAACCUGUUGUCCACCAGGACAUCCAGUUCCCUCUCUGCAGAGCUCCUCUCCAGCAGGUCAUCCCCCAACCUGUACAUCAAGGGCACUAACAACACCUAAUGCCUUGACCAGUCUCACCCGGAGCCUUUCCCCACCCUGCCCCUGAGCCCAGACAACCCAUUUCAGCUUGGCCUGGGGUUGCCAGUCUUUGCCUGACCCAUGCUGUAGGUGUGAUUGUUUCCUGCCCUGUUUCCCAGAUGGUUCUGAGAUCUGUGCCACAGGUAGCUUGUCUCCAGCCCUACCUCCUGGAUGGAGUCCUCAGACCCAUGUUAUAGUUCUGUCUCCAGCCCUGUUACUGACCUUUUCUGCCUUAAUUCAUGAUAGAACCCUCUAGACGGACACUGACCCUGGCUUAUCCCCUUGCCCUUUUGGGGCCAUUAAUCAAUCUCUGUUACUCUCUGAGUCUACUUGCUAUAGUUGGCUCCUGGAGGAUGAUGCCUGUUGUUGAGAGCAUAGCCAAUGCUGGGGUUACCCUUGGUGCCCAGCUCCCCAUUCCCAAGUAAGCAGUUAGCUCUUCUGGUAUCCUAACAUCCUCCACUGGAAUUGGAGGUGACACAAGCUCUCCUGAAUUUUAAUAUAAGCUUUUUGAAACUCUCUGCAGGUAAGCUCUGCUCAUUCUGGUACCUUCUGAGUAUGAAGGUUUCUUGCAGGUUGGGGCAGCUGGGCCAUUCUCAUCCUAGUCAGAAAAAGAAGGCACAGAAACCUUUCGCUUACUCUCUAGCUGGCAAAUGCUAUACUUUUUCUAUGGUUCAACCUUUUGCUUUGCCAUCUCACCUUGAAGCUUUGCUGCUAGAAGGCAAAACGCUCUCCAAAAUUCUCCCUGAGAGCUCCUGACCACACUGAUAAAGAAGGUGUAUUGGGCUGGCUGUGCACAAUGCCUGCCUGUUUGCCAGUUUUCCUGCUCACUGGGCAUAACACCAUGGGUCAAUGUAUAACUUGGGGUAAUGGUUUCAGAUGACACCAAGAACCACAAAGAAAUAUCCCACAUGAAACUCUGUGCAUGCAGUGUGGUUUUGGAGGGAAAGGGAAAGGGGAAAUCUUGAGGUGAAAAUCCAACCUGCUCAGUUACAGCUACCUUGAUCCCAAAUAAAUUCAGAUUCUUGGAGGUUUAGAAGUAUAGACUAACUAGUUUUCCUCUUUGCAUGCCUCUCCCCCUUUCCAGGCUGAUCUGCAAGAGCAGAGAGAGUAUGAGAAAUGUUCACUAGGAUAGUCCCAAAUUGUUCUGAUCUAAAAGAGGAUAUUGUGACUUUCAAAGAGACCACGCUCCCUUGUGACAUGGAGCCCUUGUGGGCAGCAGAGAGUUUUGACCAUUCUUGGAAAAAGACAGAACUGGGUAGAAAUGGGCUCAGAAAUUUACCAUAAAAAUUAAGCUUUGGGGAUUUUGUUCUAAUAGCUACACAUAUCCAAACUUGCUGCUGCUUGACUGCUUCUGUCUCACUCUGUCUCCCUUCCUUAUGCCCCUUCCACUUGCCCUGCAUCUCUGCCUUCUCAUUCAUCAAUCACUGCUCCUCAUCUAAUCAAAGCCUCUGGCACGGCUGCGGGCCACAUGGCACCAACCCCACUGGGCCAGCGCCAAUAAAGCCUGGGAUCUUGCCAGUUUGCAUUGGCUGCAGCCGUGUAUUUAAGUUUCUUUCACAUUUUUGUGAUGAUACAUCAUAUGGAUUUUAUUUUAUUUUUCUUUCUCUCCAUCUCUGGAACAAUAAUUUAGGUCCAGUCGUCGUGGAUCUUCUUGGCUCACUGAUUUAGUCCUGUAGGUCUAUUUCACUGGACCCCACUGCUCACUGGAUUCUGAGCUUUUGAGGAAAAAAUAAAAAGGGCUUUAUAAAGCUCCUAGCAAGGUGACCCUCCUGUCCCGUCCAAGGUGUAGGCAAAUGCCAUCAAAAGGCAAACAAAGGGAAAAUAACUUUGACUUCAAAUAGUCCUUGAAGCCAGUUCUUACAGCACCUCAUUAGUAUAUGCCAGUGUAAGGUGACCCUGUCAUUCUGCUUUGCUUUGUGUUAGCAGCAAGUUUGGUGAUGCUUCCUUGCUCUUGUGAUCUGACAUAGAUCUUGUGAUAUUUAUUGCCUUAUAAAUUUUGGUGGUCACAUGAGAAUCUGAGCUACCCAUUUCUAUGCUGUUUCUAGGCCUCAUGGUCAGAGGGAUAUCUUUAGAGCCGUCUACAGUAAGCCUGAAGACAAGGAUAUCAGAAGACAAACAGACCUCCAGGUGCAGUCCUGACACCUCAUUCUGUGUAUACAGCAGAGAUUUUGCAUACCGGAGAAUCUGCAGUCCAAAAAUACUGCUAGGGAGCAGAAGACACACUGGUAGGUGACGAAAACUGAGUUCACUGACUGCAUUUUGCAAAAUGCAAUAGGUUAUUUCUGUUUAUUGCCUGGGAUUGUACAAGAAGAUCAGAAUUCAAGCUUGGACAUUCUUGGAUAUUUUCCCCAUGAGAUUUGUGUCUGUACAGACAAUGUUAUAAUAUGCUUUCUUCUUCCUGGAAAAGGGAUGAUAUCCCCUUGGCACCACAAGUGAUCACUUAAAUGGAACAAUAACAUUAAGCAAGUGUCUGUAGUUCUCCUUCAGGGUGCUUUAGCAUCUGGAAACAAGAGAAGGAGUGGUAAGCAUUAUAUGGGCAAGCAAUUAGGAGGAUAGAAAUGUGCUUGGGGGAGAGAAGCAUACUUCGAAAACAGAGUUAUUUCAUAAAAAGCGUCAAAAAUGUACCUUUAAGUGAGCAGUUUGGGAGGAUGUUCUGUGGACUACUUAUGGUGUGACUACUGAAUUUGAGGGAUUUGCCCCUUUCUCUGUGGUGUGAGCCACUGUCUGAAAGAGGACUUUGAUCUGGCUCAGGGUCUGCCCAAACAGGGAGUGCCUCAGUCAGUGACUGUCUCAGUGAAUGACAUUUUUGUGCUCAGUGCUUUCUCCCAGUCUUGGAAGAAAAUGAAUAACAAGCACAGCCACCUCUUUGGCAUCUCAGUGUGAAACGAGUUAGGGGACCAUUUUCAGCUGAGGCUAACGGGAAAGGUCCAGCAGGAACAAGAUGGCUUGUAUAGCAGCUCCUGGAUCCAGACGCCAUCCAGCUCACAAAUAGUUCUCUGCAAGUCUUCUACUAACAUUAACAAUUUGUCCCUUGCACUGGUGGAUCUGUUGGCCCUGGAUCCUGUUGGGAUCUGUGAGCCCUGGAUCCGUGGUGGUCAGGUGGAAUUACUGAGCCCCAGUCCACUUCACACAGUGCCAUCACUUGCAGAAUUAUGGGCUUUAACUCAGCUCUGUGGAUUCAUUCUGAGCUACCUCUCCACUGGCCUUUCUGGCUCCUGCAAAACUCAGAUUUUCAUCCAUGCAAAGCUCACAGUGGCUGCUCACUGUGGGGUCCACUUUCCAUGGUAGUGCUCUCCUUCAGACAAAAGUAUGGAAGGUUGGAACCUCCAGUAAGGAGCAGAGAAGGGCUGGAACACAGAUCAUUCUGCAAUUGAAGAAGGCAAUUGCUGUUACGAUGUCAAAACAAGCUGCUAAAAUAUGGAAGUCAAGCAACUUUGUCAAAUUACAGUUUGAGAUGAUAGUUCCAAUUAGAUGUUUUUUUCCUUGAUGGUUCAUUUUUCUUUCUGCCUUUCAUGUUUUUAUUACUUUUUUUUAAAACAUAAACUGUUUUGAAAGUUAAAACUUUAAGAGGCAGAACAGGUAGAGAAAUUAUAAAUAACAUAGGAGUGAUGCUCUAAUGCCUAUUCCUAAUGUUAAGAACCUGUGAUGUAAAAAGUCUCAGAAGUCACAGUUCAAGCACUCUUUGCAUGUCUAGCUUAUCCUCUAGUGCUUUUGUUUUUCAGGAUUUUGUUUGUAUGUACUCAAAUAUACACGCUGUUUUGUGCAUCCAGAAGAGUUAACUUCCUCCCUUUUCUUUCACCUUGAAUGGAUGCUAUGGUUUUAAGAGCAACACUUAAGACAGGUGGGCUGACAAAACAUAGCAAAAUCCUGGGUGUAUGCAGCAUUGGCAGUUAGGCUGGUGUUUCCGUGUCCCUGCUGAGGAUGGAAAAUGUUUUGCCGUCACUCUUCCUACAUACACAGUCCUAAAGUGUUCAGAGGGGCUAAAUUUCUACUGAAAUGAUCUUCAAGUGUUGUGUUGUCAUGAUAGAGAGAAGAUGAACUCAGUUCUCAUAGACCAUAAUACAAUAUGGAGCUUGUAGCAGAGCUUCAGUAGGAUAUUUUUAACAGUCUGAUAUUGGGAAAGACUUUUUUCCUAAGUGGUCAGCUACUGCAAACAAAAUGGCCGCCUUCUUCUUUUGUCAGGAUUAAUUUCUGCAAUCCAUACUGUAGAUUUCCCCGUGCUUGUCUGCUAACUAUGUAGAAACUGCUAAGCAAUCAUGCAUAAUUCAUUACUCUUAAUCAAAAUGUAAAUUUAUUGUCAGCCUUUUGGGGUAAUUAAAGCACUGUUGUGGGAAUAGGUUUAUGUUCUGUAUCUUUUGCAAAAAUAAACAAAUAAUGUUUUAUGUUCUAUUUGAAGAGAUGCAGUUGAUCACCAAGUGGGACACAACCGAACUUCCAGAGAAGGUCCAUCAGUUAGCAUGUAUCUAAUACUCAACAGGAAUAAGAAGGAUCACUGAACGGGUGACGCAGGAAAAGGAGGAUUACACUGCAUGUGAUGGCAGAAGGAGGAUGGAGCAUUCUUGCAGGCAGCGUAAGGAUGGGGAUUACUACGGGAUUUUCUUGGGGAUCUAGGUAUAAUGAAGAAACUUUACCCUCUACCUUACACUUGGGACCUCUGAAAGGGCAAGUGAAGGGUCAUCAGGAGCCAUCUCAUGUAUAUUCAAGUAUUUUGAAGUACUUGCUGCUUCCCUAGUUGACCUAAGCAAAUACUAUGCAAGAGAGUAUGAUUUUUGGGGCCGUACCUCACAAAGGUCACAUCUCCAGUGGCAGGAGAGGGUGAGGUGGGAAGCUCAUUAUAACCGUGACAAUGGCUUCUUCAAUUUAAUAGCAAUAACAAAACUCUGUCUGGGAGGGGAAGGCUGUAAAGUUUGACUGCGAGUUAAUCUUUAGAAGUAGCAGCCUCUGUGAUUAGUCCAGCAAAAAUGGUCAAAUUUUGGCUGAGUUAUGAAGUUUUGAAAAUGAAUAAUUGCUGUUGUUUAUAUUACACCCACGCACAAACCAUAAAUGUUUAGCUCUUUGACCUUAGCCAUGACCACAGAGAUCUGCAGUAGAUGCUGUUCACGUUCUCCCUGUUACACUGCACUGCUCCAUUCCAGCUGCCUCAGCAAGGCUGCUCCAGGCAAGGGAGGGAUGCAUGGCAAGUGAUACCAACAGCAGGGACAGGGACCAGCUCAGCUCAAGAGAGGGGAAAGCAAAGAUGGCAAGGGACCAGGCUGCAGAAAACAUGGGAAAAUCAAGGCCCACAGAACAGAAAAGGACAAAGAGAAGAAAUGAAAGGAUAAUUGCAGCUGGAGAGUCGAUGCCAACACAGAGCCUGAAGAUGUUCACACAGCUCUGGGAAAAUCGAGGUGCUCAGCCAGGCUAAAGGUCUUCGCUCCUCCUGUCCAAGCAUAAGCACUGGCACCUUCAGAAGAGCAUAUGCAUUUUACUGAAGAGAGAAAACCAC